GCUUUGCCUGCUAUCUCUUACCCAUGUCUUUUGAGUACUUACGUUUCCUCGGCGGGUUCGCCCGCCGAUUGGACAAUUUAAACCCUUUGCAGUUGCAAUCAGCGUCUGAAAAACUUAAUAGUUACAACUUUCAACAACGGAUCUCUUGGUUCUGGCAUCGAUGAAGAACGCAGCGAAAUGCGAUAAGUAGUGUGAAUUGCAGAAUUCAGUGAAUCAUCGAAUCUUUGAACGCACAUUGCGCCCCUUGGUAUUCCAUGGGGCAUGCCUGUUCGAGCGUCAUUUGUACCUUCAAGCUUUGCUUGGUGUUGGGUGUUUGUCUCGCCUUUGCGUGUAGACUCGCCUUAAAACAAUUGGCAGCCGGCGUAUUGAUUUCGGAGCGCAGUACAUCUCGCGCUUUGCACUCAUAACGACGACGUCCAAAAGUACAUUUUUACACUCUUGACCUCGGAUCAGGUAGGGAUACCCGCUGAACUUAAGCAUAUC
rnacentral:rRNA from 1 species